rnacentral:lncRNA from 1 species
GAAGACUCUGGAUGUGAACUACUUCGUGUUUGCUUUUUGUUUUUUGUUUUUUUUUUUCUCUAAAAUUACCAAAAAAAGAGGAAUAUCCACAGAAGCAGAAGUAGGAAUGGGGAAGGAGGGGACAAGUUUAGACCAAGCUCUUCUGUGACCUCACUUCUGCUUUUGAAGUCCCACAGCUCUAUAAGGAUUCCUAAAACUGGACAUGGUGGCUGUAGGAGGAUGCGCCUCUUUCAGUCAUUGGAUUUCCCCUGGAAAGACAGAAUGAAUUCACAUUCUCACCUGCAGUGGGUGAGAAGUCCCUUUUCCCCCACUUCCUUGCCAAAAAUGGAUAUUAUCAUUCCUUUUCAUCUUUGCCAGUCUGGAAGUUAUGUGCAACUGAACACAAGAAUUACAGAAGAGGCCGGGCGUGGUUGCUCACGCCUGUAAUCCCAACACUUUGGGAGGCUGAGGCGGGCAGAUCACUUGAGGCCAGGAGUUUGAAACCAGCCUUGGCAACAUGAUGAAAACCUGUCUCUACCAAAACACACACACACACACACUAGCCAGACAUUGUGACACACACCUGUGGUCCCAGCUACUCGGGAGACUGAAGUGGGAGGAUCACUUGAGCCCAGGAGGUUGAGGCUGUAGUGAGCUGUGAUUGCACCUCUGCACUCCAGCCUGAGCAACAGAAUGAGACCCUGUCAAAAAAAAAAAAAAAAAAAAAAAAAGGCAGCUGGGAUUUAAGAACCAAUUCAGGGAUAGAACAAAAUUGGGGCUCCAUCCCAACUCUGAAGCUCAGUUUCUUCAGCUGUAAAAUGGGGUAAAUAAUAAUCUUUCCAAAGGGAAAAGUUAAAUAGCUUAAUCCUAGUCCUAACCACCCCCAAUGGCUCUCCCUUCUUCCCAAAUUCCUUUUCAAUCUUGUCUCCUCCCAGCAGCCUGAGUAUUCCAAUAUGAAUGUAAAUCACAUGACAUGGUUUGUAUCUGUGUCCCCAUCCAAAUCUCAUGUCAAAUUGUAACCUCAGUGUUGGAGGUAGGGCCUGAUGGGAGGUGACUGGAUCGUGGAGGCAGAGUUCUUAUGAAUGGUUUAGCACAGUCUCCCCUCGGCACUGUGUAGGGGUUAAGUUCUCAUGAGAUCUGGUUGUUUAACAGUGUCCAGCACCUCCCUGUCUCUCUUCUCCUUCUGCUCCGGCCAUGUGAGAUUCAUUACUCCCCUUUGCCUUCCACCAUGAUUGUAAGUUUCCUGAAGCUUCCCCAGAAGCUGAUGCUGCCGUGCUUCCUGUACAGCCUGCAGAACUG